rnacentral:tRNA from 1 species
GUCUCAGUAGCACAGUGAUUAGUGUACAGCCAUGAAUAGGUCAGACGCGGGUUCGAUUCCCACCUGAGAUG